AGUAUAAAUCAGCUAAAUUAAGCUUUAGGGCUCAUAAUCCUAGCAUGUUGGUGAAACCCCAACUUUUACUA
rnacentral:tRNA from 1 species